UACGGAGGGUGCUAGCGUUGUUCGGAAUCACUGGGCGUAAAGGGCUCGUAGGCGGCCAACUAAGUCGGACGUGAAAUCCCUCAGCUUAACUGGGGAACUGCGUCCGAUACUGGAUGGCUUGGAUUUGGGAGAGGGAUGCGGAAUUCCAGGUGUAGCGGUGAAAUGCGUAGAUAUCUGGAGGAACACCGGUGGCGAAGGCGGCAUCCUGGACCAAUAUUGACGCUGAGGAGCGAAAGCUAGGGGAGCAAACGGG
rnacentral:rRNA from 1 species